rnacentral:rRNA from 1 species
AGCGAACGCUGGCGGCAGGCUUAACACAUGCAAGUCGAACGGGCAUCCUCGGAUGUCAGUGGCAGACGGGUGAGUAACACGUGGGAACGUACCCUUCGGUUCGGAAUAACUCAGGGAAACUUGAGCUAAUACCGGAUACGCCCUUUUGGGGAAAGGUUUACUGCCGAAGGAUCGGCCCGCGUCUGAUUAGCUUGUUGGUGGGGUAACGGCCUACCAAGGCGACGAUCAGUAGCUGGUCUGAGAGGAUGAUCAGCCACACUGGGACUGAGACACGGCCCAGACUCCUACGGGAGGCAGCAGUGGGGAAUAUUGGACAAUGGGCGCAAGCCUGAUCCAGCCAUGCCGCGUGAGUGAUGAAGGCCUUAGGGUUGUAAAGCUCUUUUGUCCGGGACGAUAAUGACGGUACCGGAAGAAUAAGCCCCGGCUAACUUCGUG